rnacentral:piRNA from 1 species
CCCGCGUGCUAUUCUCCUUGCAGAGUUGC